rnacentral:lncRNA from 1 species
UAACACAAUGUAUGACAAACACCCAAUCUGCAUAUUCGGUAAUGAAAAGAAGCACAGAAGCCAAACCAGUACAACGUAAGAAAAGUGGACACACACAUAUAUAUAUAGACGCAUUCGAAGCUUAAAGGGAGGUCAAUGGCCAGGGUGGUCGAUAUUUGCCUCAAAGAAACCUUGGGGGUGGAGGGGAUGCAAAUGGGAUUUUAUACUUCUUACAGAAUGCCACGUAUUUUUUCCCGUUCGGGCACUUAGUACCAGGCGGCAAUGUUGGACGACGAGGAGGAAACUGAAAAUUAGGAGGAAUAUGAAUAUUAGGUUUUGGUUCAGGAAUAUGGAUUCCCGGAAUGCCCCUUGCUUGGACCGUCACUUGACCAGGAUGGUAAGUCUCUACUCCACCUGCACCACCCAAAACGCAUUACAGUGUCAGCUUUCAAGGUAAUUUGAUCAUUAAUUUUAGUGGUUAUUUGUUCUUUCUAUUCAGUUCCGAAAAAAAAACUCAAAACCAAACACCCUUUUAAAAAAACCUGAUUACUUAUAACGUAGACACAAUAAAGACUUCGGAAUAUCUAAAGACGAAAUGACUCACUAAGUUUCUGGAGCUCCCUUUGUUCGCCAUGUGGAAACACGAGAAGAAGAAGAAGAACGACAAGCAUGGAAGAGACUACGGAAGAUUUCAUCUUAAUUUGUAUAUUCCCUCUUAGUUUACUUAUCAGUGUGCCUCACGCUUAUGCAUUUAUAUAGAAAAUAGGGGGAUGGAAAUAAAAGGAUAGGUUUUCACCCAAAAACGUUAAAAGUCAUUAUAGUAAAUGAAAGUUAAAGAUAGUUAGAGCAUAAUAGCCCAAGAUGAAACUAGUGAAGAGAUAAGAGUGCGAGCGAGAGAGAGAGAGAGAGAGAGUUAGUCGUCUGUCACUUAAUUAUGGGUCUUCAAGUUUUGGUACUCUUUGGUGAAAAGUCCUCGCUGGCUGCCAUGUUUUGGCUUACUAGCGGAGAAACAGAGAGAGAGAGAGAGAGACGACUUAGUUGUGAGUGUCACUUAUGGGUCUUCAAGUUUUGGUACUCUUCGGUGAAAAGUCCUCGCUGGCUGCCAUGUUUUGGCUUACUAGCGGAGAGACAGAGAGAGAGAGAGAGACGACUUAGUUGUGAGUGUCACUUAUGGGUCUUCAAGUUUUGGUACUCUUCGAUCGAGACGACUUACUUGUGAAUGUCGCUGGCUGCCAUGUUUUUGGGUUUACUAAACGGUGAGAGAGAGAGAGAGAGAGAAAGAGAGAGAGAGAGAGAGAGAGAGAGAGAGAGAGAGAGAGAGAGAGACGACUUAGUUGUGAGUAUCACUUAUGGGUCUUCAAGUUUUGGCCGCCAUGUUUUGGUUUACUAGGUCAAGUGCUUUGCAUUGCAUUAUUUUCCCUUAUAACUUACUUUGGUAAUUUGUAUAUAUCAGGUACCAGAAAGACUGAAAGCGAAUAUAAACCAGGACCAUUUUAACGCCCAAUAUUGUAUCUUAUAUUAUUUCUUUUUUCCUCUCCUCAUGUUUUCUACUUUCUCUCUUUCCAGUUGACCAAAACAAUUGUACAUAAUAUCUAUCUCUUGGUCUUCGUAAAC